AGGCCAACGAGGUGGGCAUCUACUUGUAGGAGGAGGCAUCCGUACGGACGACUGUAGUUUCAUACACAUCCUGAUUCCUGAAUGAGACAAAGUUUAAAAUUUGAGUGGUGUGAAUCGGUCAAGUCAUAUGGAAUGAAGAGGCGCUCCUAUUGGCCCCAUUGCCCCAGGUGACCCAGGGGCUCCUGGAUUCCCCGCAGGCCCCACCGGGCCCGGAAGGCUGCAAACCAGAUUAGACGAGUGGAUAGUGAUGUUGCGUCCUUUCUUUGGUGAGGAAUAAAUGGACUGGCAGAGGACCACCGAGAGCAGACAGGUCGUCACACACACAUGAAGAACAGCGGCCACUGAGGAGUCAGGAAAAGAUGGAGGAGAAUGUAAUUUAAGACCAUGCAGCUGUCCGAUGCAGCUUCUAGAAACAUGCUCAGACGAAGAAAAGGAACUCAGAGCCUGCGAGGAUGAAACGGGUCAGCAAAGAGUGGGAAGUGACGGGGCAGUACAGCACAAGCAGUUGCGAGCAGUGACAAGAAGAGGGAUAGAUUUAGAAUUUGGCUCUAUGAUAUUAAUUGCUGAUGAAGGCAAAACUAAGUGCAGUACUUGCUUCAGACCACUAGAGGUGCUGUUGAGUUUGUCUGAACUACAACCUCGUUUGUAAUGUAAAGAGAAACAUGGCAGAUUCAAGAGAACAGUCAUGGCAGGUUUUCCUGUCUCUAGUGUCUCACAUUAAGUUAGCCACAAACUAACAUAAGUUAGUUAAUAUAAGGUGCUUGCUUCCAACUGUUUCUUUAUCCCUCAUAAUUGACAUUUAGUGCCAAACUGACAUGAAACAAGAUCAUUUUACAUUUAAACACCAAAACUGAAAUCAAUGUUACAUUUCAAUUUAUAGCCCUGCCCUACAAUGCAUUAAUAUCUCUUACCUCCAGCAGAGUCUUGGGCUGCUCUUCCUCUUGUAGCUCAUUGACACCGUCUUCAAACGGAACACACUGAGAGUUGCUCUUCAAGAUUUAAAAAAAAAAAAAAAGAUAACAUGAGUUACAAGGUCAAUGUGCACCGCAAAAAGCCUCAAAGUGCCAUAAGCGCUCACAAUUCCAAUGCCAGCAUCUCCAGUGCAAUAACUUUGUUUAACCAUGGAGUGGCAGCACUUGUAUCCCCAGAAGCCAUCCUUCCAGUAGGAGCCCCAAAUACACUGAGGAGCACACCAAUUUGGUCAGGUCAGUCAGAAGCCACUUGCAACCCGUUGAAGCACGCUCGGCCGUCCUUACGGUGUGAUUGUUGAGGAGUACGUCUUCCUCAUACUUGGAGCGAGCGACGGCUUUCUCGAGUCCUUUUAGGACGGCGCCGUGACGGGAGUACUCCACGUAAUCCUCAGUUUGAGCCAAUAGGAGCUCCCGAGGGGGUGCGUCCAAGUGCUCCUGGCCUCCAUACUAUUGAAAACACAAAGAGUUAUGCGACAACACCUUCUAAAGCCAUACUCUCCAAAGUUUGAAACAAGCUACGCAAGACGGGGGAGUCAUGUAAUUGCGUGACAAGUUAAAUCAAACAAAAAAUUGCUUUUGUGUGUUUUCUGCACCCUCGCCAAAUUUAUCACAGCGAUCAAUUUCUGCAACUCAGUUGGAUGCUUGAUUGCCUAUUUAACUAACGCUUUAAUCCCCACCACUUCGUUUUGCGCUUGUGGCCCUCUCGCAAAUGUUCCAUGGUGAAAACACAGGACGCGCCAAUCAAUACCACUUUUAUGGACUGAAGAAAUAGUCGCGCUCGAAAAAUACAGGAAGUGUACCUUCUCCAGAAUGCUCUCCCUCUGUUGCUCUUUGAAGUCUUCCUUCUUGACCUUAAAGGAACGAUGAAGCAGCUCCAACUUGGUGGGGUCAGCCUGCAGAUGCACUUCCGAGCCCCUCUCGUAGGCCUCCCAGGCAAACACUAACAGGAAAAGGUGUUAAAUACUUCAAGAGGUCGCAGAUAUGCGUGCUAUGGAUCCAUUUAACGCUCACUGUUGCAGCUUUUAAUACAAAUAUAGCUCACGUUCUCCUGAUUGUUAGCGGUUUCUUAGUGCCUUACUUUGUGUUUGAGCCAUGGUGAUGGUGUCACCACUAUAGCGGGCAAAGUUGUCGCCAGCAUAUCCCACUCUGUAGGCAAAACCCAAACGGAAUGUGAAUGGAAAUCGACUUGAGGCAAUUCAAACACGCACAAACAUUUUGCGGCGGCCGUUUUACUUCCAGGGACUUACUCGUCGGGGUUCAUGCCAGUGCUGGAGUAUGGGUUCUCUCUCAUUGCUCGGGUCUUUGGAUCGUAGUAGGCAGAGUUUGGAUCCAGGUUCCUCAAGUACUGUGGGAAACAGACAUUUAUAUUACUGGACAUAUACACGCAGUAUCGCACACUUUGGUCAGGUGCCUCUUACUUUCGCUGUGUCUUCCCUAAUACGCAAAUUCCUGACGGUGAUUCGUCUCUUGGAGUCGAAAUUCUGGCCGGGCAUGUCAAUGUCAUCUGCGUAUUUAUCUUCAUCCUCAUCCUCGCUGUCAUGUUCUCGUUCCUGCAGAGAAAUGAUGCCACGUCGCUUUCCAUAGUUAGAGGUGAAGGACAGGGGGACAAGCCCAUUCAGUGUCCAAAAAGCUCACCGAUUGGUCCAGCUUCCCUGACGCCAACUCAUCCUGGAGCUUGUGAGCCUUCAGUGUUCUUUUGGCCUGAGAAGUAAACAGAUAGGACAUCAUCAUAGAAUCAUUUGGAACAAGAGGCUAAGUUUGUAGCCGGAUGAGAAAAUGUGCCUACCAAAUUGGACUCAAGCACAGUCGCCAGGCAUGGGCUGAUAACACGUUUGACCGUUUACUGCGGUUUUAAAAUGUCAAGGUUUUAAUAACUGCUAAAACUGUCCAUCGCAGUUAACGAGUUUUUCUUUUCUUUUUUUUGUUUUAAGUUCUAACGAGGCAACGUCCCACUGCAAUAUGACCGGCUGCUUGCAGAGAUGAUAAAGUGACCUGCCUCUUUGAAUUUAAUGACGAGAGCCCAGGCACUUUGUUUUCUUCUUCUCAGCUGCGCAGAGAGGUGCGUAGUAGUAGAAGCACAACGCACACAGAGCUCGUAUAUUUCAUUCUAUUUUAUCUUUUUGCUGCCUUGAUUAAGGAGCUGUUAGGCCCCAAGGACAACACGAACACCCCAUGGGUCUGUUUUAAAAACGGCUCACCAGUGAUGGGACAUUGAGAUUUACUAAUUUCAGUACCACAGUAUUUUUUUUUUUAUGGUUCUCAUACAGUCAGAAUAUAAUACCGGCUCAUUCCUACAUGUAGCACGCGACUGUGCUAAACUUGAUUCACAGUCAAUUGAUAAGACUGCUUACCAGAUCCACUUUGGCGUACUCCUCCACUAUGCGCUGGUGUUCCUCCGGGUCGUAGCCAUUCCAACGAUCUCUCUUUCCGUCAUAAUCCAGUUUGAGUUGCACCUGGGAAUGUUCAUCUGGCGCAAUGGCGGUGCCAGUAAACUUUGCCCCGACUUUCCUGGGUCGCUGAGAGCAAAAAAGCGAUCAAUGAAAAGGUCACAGUGCAACAAUUUACACUCUCCUUCUUUGACUGAUGGGCUGUUCAGUCAUUUUACCUCCAAACAGUCUUUCUUGUUGUGCGUCAUUGCACCACAGUUCUCACAGGCACCUUUGCGGAAUUUAGUAGUAACAGUGUUCUGUUGAAAACAUUGACAUGAGUUAAGUCAUUUCAAAGUCCUAUUUGUUCAGUGGUUUAUUUCCUUCUCACCUCUUGCACUCCUCUCUUGUACCAUUCUCCAAUGGCAGAAUAAUCCUCUUGAAUUUCCGUCUGUGGUCUCUGAUGUUUAAGUGUGGGCCUUUUGGAUGGGUCAAUAUACCACGGCACAGAGGAAAUGUACUGUGGGAUAUGCGGGUUGAUGUCCCUAGAAAAAUAGUGAAAUAAGGAACAAGUGAUAAAAAUCUGGAGCAAAUGAUAGUUGUAAGCCUAAACACAGAGGACACAAGCGAGUGUGUGAUUCAUCGAUUGCGCCCCAACCCUCCUGCAUAAACAACUAACAAAAACUGCAAUUACAAGUGUGUGCUGUGCAAUUGAAGAUUACAAACACUGCUGAUAAACACACUACAUGCGCAGAUUUUACUUGAGUUUACGUACUUGCCCUCCUCGUCCACCUCAGCUGGAGCGUUUCCCAGCUUUCUCUGUUCCUCGAGUUCCUUCUUUUUCCUCCAGUCCUCCCGGGUCAUCUUCUUGGGCUCAUCCAGGUCCACAACGCCCUCGACACCGGCCUUCCCGUCGUCCUGCUCAGCCAUGACUCAACCUGCAACGCGGAUGAGCCAUUAAAAACAUUCAGAAGCGGAGCAGAGAUGUCUGCACCUUGCAGUCCAAAUAACGCGUAAAUACGUUUGUUCAUAGCUGUGAUCAAUGGCGUUGCCGGAAUAUUUGAUAUCUCUUUCACGUUUGAAAAUCAAAUGGAUUACCUUGGCUUUAUCCAGUAAUUAUGUCAGUAUUAGAUUCGUCUUUCCAAAAAUCCACACAAACGCAGCAUUAGUUUACUAUGUUCGCCAUUUUGCGCCGAGGAUAUUACGUCAGAGUUUCUUAAUCUGUGGUGUCCAAACGUAGCAAAAAGUGAAAGAGCGACACCUAUCGGAGGCGAAUUUGCAUAAAUUGGUAACGGAUCGCUUGUGUGUAGAAUUUUGAAUAUUUUUCCCUAUUUGCCCAAAUUUGAAUAGAAUUAAAAUCUGUCUCGAUAUAAUACUCAUGUAUGGCCUUGGUCAUCAAUCUAUUUAAUAUGAGUGUAAACUGUUUUUUUUAUUUUUUUAACUUAGACAAAUAUGCUUGUCUCAGGCUUCAGUGACUACAGUGUGUUUAUUUUUGCAUUUGGGUCAAAACAUAACAUGGAAACAAUGGCGCAAGAGCAUUCCAAUGACCACUAUUGUUUUUUUUCUUUUUUUCACUAAGACAUUGUCAAAGACAGUGACAACCAAAUGCCCUUGUGAUUACAGUUUUGUCAAAUUAAAAUAAAAAAUCGUGUUUUAUUUAUUUUCAGAAAAUAUGUCCUUAAAAAAGUCCGAUGUAAACAAUGUAUAAUAGAGUGCACAACUGGAGCCAAAUGCACCAGACAUAAACAAAUAUCAACAGAAGUAAAAAAAGAAACUGAGUGAACGUGCCCGUUGGGUCUUAGCACCAAAACGCAUCCCAUCUGUCAGUGUAGCUGUCUGGGAUAACAAGGCAAUAUUGUACCAGGGAGAAGGGAAUGUUGCAGUUGAUUACAGUAGGUGACUUUAAGGGUCACUUGUCAUUCUUCCCUCCUUCCCUAGUCAUCGUCCUCGACGUCUUCAUCGUCAGCAUCUUCUUCAACGUAAUCACCCCAACUGCCAUAAAAGUUUGGCUCCUCCUGCUCCUCCUCCUCCUCCUCCUCAAGGGUGCCUCCUCCAUACAGUGGUUCAUCUUCCACCAACUCUAUCGCUCCCAUGUCAUCAUCUGCUUCUUCAUCCUCCUCCUCGAGAUCAUCGGCAUCGUCAUCAUCAUAAUCAUCAUCAUCAUCAUUCUCGUCGUCCAGGUCUACCUCGACACCACACACCUCUCCUUCCUCAAUUUCACCAUCAUCGCUUUGACCCUUGGAGGACGUCGGGCUGGAGAAUGCUUUUUCUUCAAGCUCGUCUGUGAGGCAAGACCCGCUCGAGGGGAUGAAGCUUGAGGUAGACGUCUUUGUGUUUAUGUACAGACGAGGAGGAAGAGGGGGAGGAGGCUUGAGAGUGGCCGGGCCAGCCCGACCGCCGUGCCAGGUGGCGGGGGAAGAAUCUUCAGAUCCCGAGGCUUCACAGGAAGCAGGUGGCCCAGCAAAAGGAUUCAAGGCAGCCGCGUUGGGCACGUAUUCGCGAAUCUCGCCUGGUUCCAGAGGGUCGGGCCCACAGGGGUCGUGGUCACUGCAAGACAGCUUGCCGUCCAGCUUGGAAAUGAAGAGCAUGCCAUCGAGAUGUGCUUUGCAGAAUGAGCUGGGGCACAUCUCACAAAAAGAAGCUGCCUCUAUACCGCAGAUGUCACACUGGUGCCAAGGACACUCCCAUCGCCCUGGAAAUUAUAGUAUGGUCAUUUAUAUUUUAUUUUGGAAUUGAAUAGAUAAAUAUCUACAUAGAACGAUAUUUUGGUUUGUAUUGUGGGACGAACAUUUAGGGUAAAGGAUGGGCAAGUACCGAUAUAGAAAGCAAAUUCUCAUGGAGGCUGCUGAUACCAGUCAGUGAUACUAAAGCCCCCCCUCCAAAGGAAUUUGCCUUUAUUUUAAGGUAAGCCCAACUAUUAGACCAAAACAUGUACAGUAAAUCUGAUAUUGUUAAUCGUUAUACGGAUUAAUUAAUUAUUUGUGUGGAGGACGGAAAAUAUACACGUUAUGUGCAUAUAUUGCACAAUUGUCUUUAGUGGUUUUAUACUUUUUGACAAUACAGGGCUAUUUUUAUUUCUCAAACCCUGGUCGAUGUGAUCAGGUUUGAAUAGCAGAGAUAAUUGACGACAACUAACCCGUUUGACGGGGUAAGAAGACCCUACUUGCCUGCAGGUCUUUUGGACAGGUUGAGGCAAUCAGCGUGGUAGACCUUCGGGCAACCGGGCUUCUUACAAGACACGAUCUGGCCCCCGUCACCACAGCUGAAACAUUCAUCCUCCCUCUCUUUGGUCACCUCUUGCUUGGUCUUCUUCUUCAUGCCCCCUCGCCUCUUCCCUUCCUUAAUCUUUUCAGCUGGUGGCUGGUUCUGAACAAGAUGGCAGAAAGCAAUAUCAGGUCAUUGAUCAUGGACCUUGAUGUGACAUAGGGCUGUGGAUCUUUUUGUAUUGACACAAACGUUCAAUUUUUAGUUUAUUUUGUUUGUUUACAUGAACUAUAAUAACUUUGGGGUAGAGACAUGAUGGUUUGUGGAACACGGUUUUAUAGUGAAGUCUUCCUUCAAGAGAGGAGUAAAGAUGGCAAAAAUAGUGUUGCAGCGUUAAGUUUGCAGCUGCGUGUUCCUAAAUCAAGGACAAGCGUUAUCAGAGAACUGGAAUUUUUACCUUGGGUCGAACGCCAAGGAAGCCGCUGCAGUUGGGUGCUCCGCAUUUACACGCGGUUUUGCCAUUGCCAAGACACUCGAGGUUGUAGUUAAAAGUCAGCUCCACACCUAAAAGGCAUACCUUCUAUCAGUACAGUAUCGUGGAAACAACUUCAACGCAACUCAAACCUUUUGGGAUGUCUUGCAGAGCAAAAAGUCCCACGCGGGUAUCGCCAUUCACAGUCCAUUUCUGAGUUUCACAAUUUGGCUGGCAGCUGUGAUUCAUGAAGCGAGCCUGGUUCCCUUUGGGUCCUGCGUCGAUGAUUCGGUCCUGGAAUCAAAAGGACAAUUCAGCAAUUUCACACAAGAGGGGUUCAUGUUGUACAUUCUGCAACUCUGUUGAAACGGAUUCAAUUACUGGUGCGGUUAUUGGCUUUUUUUUUUUUUUUUUUUUUUUAAUCAACAGCUGAUGCUUUCAAAUGUCUUGUUUUGAUUAAACGACAAAAAUAAUGAGUCUGUCUUCAUGAAUGAAAAAAUAUUGUUGAGAGAGGAUUUGGACAGAGAUUCUAAGUGAUUACUCCAUUAUUAAAAAAGUCAUCAAUUGA